rnacentral:tRNA from 2 species
GCUUACGUAGUUUUACUAAAAAUUUAACACUGAAGAUGUUAAGACGGACCCUAAAUAGUCCCGUGGGCA